AUGCAUAGUUGGCUUACAAUCGCCACUUCACCCAAUUACAUGAAUAAAGCAUUACAUCAUCCAGAUACAAUCAAGGUCCGACUACGGAACCAAAAUAAAAGAAGAACCCCAAAUGCGACAAAGGUCCCUGAUCGACCCCAACUGGGCUCCACUACUGAUCAACUAGAACGAAGCAAGACAAAGGACAAGAUCUUCAACAAGGUCCUCCUGAGCUUGGUUGCGUCAUCUGCACGGACUCAUCGGCACCUGCAAACUGGUUUUGGAAGUAUCUGUGAGCCACAGGGACUCAGCAAUCUCGCACCCUCGCGAUCAAGACUAUUUAAGCUUAUGGGUAAGGUAAAGGUAUGA
rnacentral:rRNA from 1 species